rnacentral:rRNA from 1 species
GACAGAGGGUGCAAACGUUGCUCGGAAUUACUGGGCGUAAAGCGCGUGUAGGCGGCUCCGCGAGUCCGAUGUGAAAGCCCGGGGCUCAACCCCGGAAGUGCAUUGGAUACUACGGAGCUGGAGGCUGGAAGAGGAGGGCGGAAUUCCCGGUGUAGAGGUGAAAUUCGUAGAUAUCGGGAGGAACACCAGUGGCGAAGGCGGCUCUCUGGACCAGUUCUGACGCUGAGACGCGAAAGCGUGGGUAGCAAACAGGAUUAGAUACCCUGGUAGUCCACGCCGUAAACGAUGGGUACUGGGUGUCGCGGGUAUUGACCCCCGCGGUGCCGAAGCCAACGCGUUAAGUACCCCGCCUGGGAAGUACGGCCGCAAGGCUAAA